UGCAUCGGCCGGGAAUCGGGACCCGGGUCGCCCGCGUGGCAGGCGAGCAUUCUACCACUGAACCACCGAUCU
rnacentral:tRNA from 1 species